UAAGGUCGGCUUCAUGAAAGCAAGAAAGGAAGCAAGUUUAGCGAACAUAGAGAUGGAAAGAGAUGGAUUUUGCCCAGCUGUUGUCAGAUCAAUUCCCAUUCAUUCUUUAAUGGAAUAGGGAACGGGCAGAGCUGCGGCUAUCAGGAAUGGGCGAUAGCCUAUGACUAAAAGCGCCGACUAUCUAUGAAUGACCAGGAUCGGAAUGCCAAUCGACGAGAUGAGCCUACGAAAGAUUUAAAGUUCAGACUAUGAUGACUGGCAUCCUCACUUACGCAACGAAAUUGAGUUGAUGGAGUAGCCAGUGCCCUUGAGUUAUUCUCUUCGGUAUCGCCUUCUCUCAUCGUUAAAGGCGCCGCAAGGGAUUCGACUAGAAGGAGUGGAUGUUAGGCACGCAGGGAAGACUCUGACUAUGCGCUGGCACUAGCCUUGGGCAUGGAUUCUUCUUUGAUUGAAGGAACGGGACAGAAGAGAACCAGAACCAUAUCCUUCACACAUUUAGUCUGAUCUUACCUGCGCUAUUGCCCGAUCAUAGCAGUACUGUAUUAGAUUAGUUAUCUGUCUCCCCUGCCCUGUUAGAAUAGUCUGGUUUGUAACAACACAACCUGAAAGGAAGCCAUUCCUAAUAGGAAGUUUCUAAUCGUCUUUCUUGAGGAGCGAGAAAAGAGAGGAAAUGGACUAUAUGGUUUGGCCACUACAUUUUAUGAAAAAGGUAGAGAUGAAUCCCCAAGAGCAGAAGGAAGUAGGCUCUUAGAUAGGGCAUUCCCGCUUAGCCCCUGGCUUACCUAAACCGCUGUUAGCAUGUUAGCACGAGAGUGGAUCGGGGAAUCGAAAAUGCUUCUUUGAUUGUUGAGUAAGGAAGCGUAGCAGGGGAAGGUUGUUAGCAUGUUAGCACGAGAGUGGGUCGAGGAAUCGAAAAUGCUUCUUUGAUUGUUGAGUAAGGAAGCGUAGCAGGGGAAGGGGAUAGCACCAGUCUUGACUCUAAUACUAUUCUUCUUUGAGUAGAUGUCGGCAUAACCACUGCUAUUUCAUCUGCAGCUCUUACCGUUGAAGGAAUAAGUAUUGCUUUGGCUUGAUUGCUUUCACCAGGUCUAGCUAGGCUGGGAGUCGAUUAGCCCGAGUUGUGUUAAGAUAAGUGGCACUUGAAUUGGAAGUAGCCAUCGGCCAGGUCUUGGAUAGAUCUCAAGCGGGCUUGAACUGCUUUAUUCGGUCUUCAGCUGGCCAGAGAGGCUGCUGAAAGAGAAGAAAAGGAAAGGUGGUACUAAAAAGGGAUGUAGGAAUAAGUAUUGCUUUAGCUUGAUUGCUUUCACCAGCUCUAGCUAGGCUGGGAGUCGAUUAGCCCGAGUUGUGUUAAGAUAAGUAAGUGGCACUUGAAUUGGAAGUAGCCAUCGGCCAGGUCUUGGAUAGAUCUCAAGCGGGCUCAAACUGCUUUAUUCGGUCUUCAGCUGGCCAGAGAGGCUGCUGAAAGAGAAGAAAAGGAAAGGUGGUACUAAAAAGGGACUGCUACCAAUUAGGCUAGAAAGAAGACAGUAAGCGCCGGGUAAAGUGACUUACUUGAAUGGUGAGCUAUCCUAUAAGACUAAGAAGCGGGGAGAGAGAAGGAUAACCUCUUUGAAAAGGACAGAGCCGCUUGGCCGCUACUUACACAUCUGGAGUUCCGGAUUGAACUAGGGAACGGAAUUCAAGGGCAACGAAGGCCCUUAGAUAGGACUUCAUCUAUGAAUAGAAGAGAUUUUCUUUCUAGUAGAGCUCAUCACGACCAUCAUAACCUAACUCCAGGACUGCUACGGGCACUGAUCCUUCUAUUCAAAGUUUCCUUUCUCCUCUUGAAUGUAGUUUGUCCUACAGCUCGCUAAAGUGAAGGUUAUUCAGCAGUGUAAGCAAGUCACUCUUAACCCUAUAGUGAAUUCAGAUAUGCUGCGCUAGGAGCUAAUGAAAGUCAUCUAGCUCAUCUAACUCAAUAGGCUACUGGUGCUUAUUAUGUUCCCAAUCUAUGAAAGAAGAGUAGAAUUCCCCGGAAGAAGAUUCGCCGAACGGAGAAUAAGCUGUAAAUCUUAGUUCUCGAAAGCGAGUGAAUCAGUCUUCCUUAUAGCUCUUUCCUCCCUUUGCUUUGGUUGUGUUUAACCGCGGUUAAACACAAAGAAAGGGUUGUUUAGCUAAUAGUAAUAGUUCGAGCGGGUAGCAGUCUGAAAGCGAACGAGCUAACUAAUAUAUAAGUAUAUAGAGCUGAGCGAGUAAGCAAGAAGAAUAUAUUGACCGUACAGGCAUUUCCCCUUCUUUCAUCACCAUUGAAAGCGCUUUGUCCCGCCUAUCAGAAAGGCCCCCACCCAUCUCUCUGACUUCGGAGAGCCGCUAAAUAAUGAGGUUCGGCAUCUGCUUGAGAAGGAAGAAGAAAGGUUGGAUCCGCUCUUAAAGAAGACGUUCCGGGGAGAAGAGUUAGAAGUAUGAGUUCAGUUCCUAUUAUAGCAUUAGCCACACUUGGGCGAAGACGAACUAAAAGCAAGUCCUUUUUAGCAUAAGACUCAGAUAAAUAUAGGGUUAGCAUCCAGUUCUGAGAUUAAGGAAAAAGCAGUGAUUAGCGAUUAGAGGAAUAUAACUAUGCAACAGCGGAUAUGCGACAUCGAAUAUAUAUCCUUUCAGUCAGGUAUAUCCUCUCA
rnacentral:lncRNA from 1 species